AUUGAACGCUGGCGGCAGGCCUAACACAUGCAAGUCGAGCGGGGUUUUCGGACCUAGCGGCGGACGGGUGAGUAAUGCGUAGGAAGCUGCCCGAUAGAGGGGGAUAUCAGUUGGAAACGACUGUUAAUACCGCAUAAUGUCUACGGACCAAAGUGUGGGACAUUCGGGCCACAUGCUAUCGGAUGCGCCUACGUGGGAUUGGCUAGUUGGUUAGGUAAUGGCUCACCAAGGCGACGAUCUCUAGCUGGUUUGAGAGGAUGAUCACCCACACUGGAGCUUGGACACGGUCCAGACUCCUACGGGAGGCAGCAGUGGGGAAUAUUGGACAAUGGGCGCAAGCCUGAUCCAGCCAUGCCGCGUGUGUGAAGAAGGCCUUCGGGUUGUAAAGCACUUUCAGCGAGGAGGAAGGGUGGUGUGUUAAUAGCACAUCAUUUUGACGUUACUCUCAGAAGAAGCACCGGCUAACUCUGUGCCAGCCGCCGCGGUAAAAC
rnacentral:rRNA from 1 species